AUCCAAUACAAAUCCAAAAAACGACCAUAACACAAACAAGUCUCCAAUCAAUCAUUUCUCUCUUAAGUCCAAUCUUACCCGUCUCUCUCCGUAACAAAGUCCAUUCCUUUUCUCUUCCUGUCUCUUGAUGGGAGAUAAUUAUAAUUCGUCUCCCAUCACGAGCCAAACCCUAACCCUAUCUCAAAAUAAACCCUAAUUAACCUUCCAAAUCCAAAUUUCACGAUGUUUUCGUGGAAUUUUGCAAAAUCGGCGGAGGCUGUACUGUCGCGGUUGGCCGUGAAGAGGCUGUGCAAGUUUGUAUUGAAGAAGAAAUUAGGGCAGUUUAUAUUAGGAGAUAUUGAUCUUGAUCAGCUCGAUGUUCAAAUCAGUGAAGGCACUAUCCAACUCAGUGAUCUUGCUCUUAAUGUUGAUUGUCUUAAUGAAAAGUUUGGGGUAGCGGCAUCAGUGAUGAUAAAAGAAGGGUCAAUUGGUUCAUUGUCGGUUAAAAUGCCACGGAAGGGUAAAGGUUUUCAGGUUGAGUUGGAUGAGCUUGAACUUGUACUUGCACCCUGUUUGAAGAAAUGUAAUACACCAGCUGGAGACGAGACUGGUAGUUGUAGUCAAGAUAGUAGACAUAGGCAGAAGGAUGUGGGAAAGUUUGGGAAUGAUUUGAUGGAAAACGCCGCAAAAUCUAGUCAUGUUGAUGUUCAUGAAGGUGUAAAGACAAUUGCAAAGAUGGUGAAGUGGUUUUUGACGAGUUUCCAUGUAAAGGUUAAGAAGUUGAUUGUUGCAUUUGAGCCGUAUUUCGAGAAGGACGAAAAGAAGGUUGGGUGUCAAGAAACUUUGGUCCUCAGAGUACCUGAAAUAGAGUGUGGAACCUGUGUUUCUGAAGACCCUAACUUGAGUUCUGAUCAUGGAGUUGAGAACUUUCUUGGGAUAAGUCAUUUAACGAAUUUUGUGGAGUUUCAAGGUGCAGUACUUGAACUUCUCCAGACGGAUGGUGUUGACAAUCAAAGUUGCAGUCCAUGUGUGUCAGAUUCAAGUUUUAGUGAGCAGUUUUUUGGGCGUUGCCGAUCAAAUCCUACAACUCCUAUUUUGACAGGGAAAAAAGGUGGAUUUUCAGGGAAUUUGAAGUUAAGUAUUCCUUGGAAGAAUGGUUCAUUAGACAUUCGCAAAUUGGAUGCUGAGGUAUGUCUUGAUCCUAUAGAAUUAAGACUUCAACCAAGCACAAUCAAGUGGUUCCUACUUUCAUGGGAAACUUGUAAGCAUAUCGAUAAAGAUGGUGGGGGGGAUGCACAUUAUAGAUCAACAGAAUCUGUCUGCUUCAAUUCCUCUUCUCAUUUCCAUUCAUCAUUAUCCAGUCCUACUGUGUUUGCUAUUGAGAAGUCAAUCCCUGUUCAUGGUAGUUUUACAUCUGCCUUCUCAUCUUUUACCGGGAAAGAAUCAAUCAGUGAAGCAAUGGUAUCUGGAUCACAUCUUAUAUCUGACUGGGUGCCAAAUUCUAUUGAAAACGAGAAAGAUGGUAUCCAAGAAGAAUUAGACCUUGGAGCAAGUGUGGACCAGUUUUUUGAAUGUUUAGAUGGAAUGAGGAGCUCACAAUCAGCUUUGGGAAGCAGUGGGAUGUGGAACUGGACAUGUUCUGUUUUCAGUGCAUUAACUGCAGCAUCCAGCCUUGCUUCUGGAUCUUUUCAUAUUCCUUCUGAAGAUCAGCAUGUUCAAACAAACCUUAAAGCGACUUUGGCUGGAAUUUCUAUCUUGUUAUCCUUUCAGGAUGAUGAUCAGGAAGACUUGUAUGGUCAAAAGAGUGACCAGAAUGCUGUUGAUUUGGAGGUUCAUUGUCUGGGUGCAGAGUGCAAAGAUAUUUUUGUUGUUUUGCAGGUAUGUCCUCAAGAAAAGAGGUUUGAAGGAACAGUGAAGUGCAUUGAGGUUGCUGAUUACUUGUACAAUAAAAAUGAUGCCAUGAAUCUUCACUUGCGGGAUUAUAGUAGUGAUAGCAACAGUGGAACUGUUUUGAUUCAAAAUCUGCAAGCUGAAGUUCAAGGUGCUCUCCCUCCAUUUCCUUAUUUGGAUGAAUCAAGUACAUUAGUUGUACCAGGAGUUCCAUCUGGAAAUGCAACCAAAGUGAAAUUGCUCGGUACCUCAGGUGUCACUCGGUGCCAAUUUACUGUAAGUUCUAACUCGUCAGAUAAAAGUUUUACAGGGACAAAGUCACUUUCAGUGCAACUGCCGCUGUUAAUAUUCUGGGUGAACUAUGGUUCAGUAAACAUGAUACUGAGUCUCCUGAAGGAUGCUGAAAAAUCUGUUGAAAUGAGUGCCCAGAGGAGUGGAUUUCCAUCUGUCAAUAAGAAGCGUGAAUUUUCUCAUGGAAAUAUGAAAAAAGGUUCAAGUUCUGGGGUUUCAACGUUAACUUGUACAGAAAAUUUGCAAGGUAGUAUAUCAAUCCCUUGUGCAAGAGUAAUACUAUGUUUCCCAUUUGCAAGUGGUGGAGAUGUUGGAGGCCACUCUUCCUGGAAUCAAUUUAUUGCUUUUGAUAUUUCUUCACCAUUAACUUUGGAAGAGGGAAAAGUUCUAGAAAAUAGUCUAACAUCGAAUUCCUGUUCAUGGAAAAGGCAAGCUCCAAGGGCCACUGGUUCUUUGCAUUUGAAUGUUGGUAAUCUCGAGGUUUAUUUGGUCAAUCCAGCAUGUAAGAAUGAUGGAAUUAGCUCGUCUACUGUAACACCAAGGCGUAAAUUUUGUGCGCAGAAGAUUGUGUCUGUCAGUAAUAGAGCUGGUUCUCUAUGUGCAAUUAAGAUGCUUUGGCAGGAAGACCCUGUGGCUGGUCCUUCUAUUGCUGAGAUAGCCAAGUCUUUGGCGGCUCCAGAGAGCAGAAGAAAAUUCAUGGUGAAAGGCUAUGAGUUUGCUAGUGCAACUGCUGUCAAAGAUUUAGGAGAUUUAAAUUCGCGAACCAGAGAGGAGAUAAUUUUGAGCUCUGCAUUCUUCUUGCAUGUUCAUCUCUUUUCUGUUAUGGUUGAUGUUAGCACUUCUCAGUACAGUAAUCUGCAUUGCCUUCUAGAUCAGAUGAUUAAUGGAUUACCAGGCAUGGCCUGCGAUGCAGUCAGUGUUGGGGAAUUGCCAUCAGUCAGUCGAACUUCAAUUCUUGUGGAGUGCGAAUCAGUAGAUUUUUCAAUUAGACCAGAUACAAAGGAUGAUAUAAAAAGUUCAUUACAGAGUGAACUUCCUGGAUCAUGGCAUUGUUUAAAAUUGAAAAUCCGAAAAUUUGAGAUGUUGUCUGUCUCAAAUAUUGGAGGUAUCAGGGGUGCCAAUUUCUUUUGGCUAGCCCAUGGAGAAGGUAAAUUGUGGGGUUCCAUCACUGGAGUUCCAGAUCGAGAGUUUCUUCUGAUUUCUUGUAGCAACUCCACUAGGAAACGUGGAGAUGGAGGAGGUUCCAAUGCAUUGUCUUCUAGGUUGGCUGGUUCUGAAAUUAUACACAUAUGGGAUCCUAAGAGGUCACAUGAUUUCACAUCUGUUACUGUCAGAUGUGCCACAAUUAUUGCUGUUGGUGGUCGCUUGGAUUGGCUGGAUGCAAUAUCCUCCUUCUUCACUUUGCCAUCUCCUGAAGUUGAGAAGGCAAGUGAUGGAAGUUUGGCAAAGGGGGAUUUGAAUGCCCCUUCUGAAACUUAUUUCAUUCUAAAGUUGGUUGAUAUCGGUAUAAGUUAUGAGCCCCACUUGAAGAAUUCGGUAGUUGGGGCUCUUCAUUCCGAGAUUGGUUCCUUGUAUUCCAAAGAAGAAACAGGUGAGCCACAUGUUGCCUGUGUAUUAGCUGCAUCUUUGUUUUCACUUUCCAACACAACAAUGGAAGAUUCUAUUGAUAGUGAUUACAAAAUUAGAGUGCAAGAUGUGGGGCUGCUUCUUGGUGCAGCACAUGAUCAUGGUGGGACUUAUAGUGUGGAAUAUCUUCAUAAGAUGGGUUAUGCGAAAGUUGCUCAUGAGGCCCUGUUUGAAGCAAUUUUGAGAACUGACUGUAAGAAUGGCCUUCUCUGGGAGCUAGAAUGCUCAAAAUCCCACAUUUAUGUGGAAACUUGCCAUGACACAACUUAUGGUUUGAUUCGCUUGUCUGCUCAAUUCCAACAGCUUUUUGCCCCUGACUUGGAGGAAUCAGUUGUGCACUUGCAGAAUAGGUGGAAUAGUGUUCGUCAGGCCCAAGAGAGAAACAAGUUAAAUGAUGAAGGCGGGAUUUCCAAUCAUGAUUGUGUCCCAUCAACUUCUCAAGUGCAUGACCCUACUGCAGAUACGAAGAGUAAACUUGGGGUGGCUGGUUUAAUGGAUGAGAUAUGUGAAGAUGCGUUUCACUUGCAUGGGACUCAGGCAUGCCAGCUUGAUUCUAAUGGAUCAGAAAUUCAUGUUUCACUUGAUGAAAGUCUCCUUGGAGAGGCUUGCAGCCUCAGUGUUGAAACUCCAGACUUUUUCUCGGAUGAUCUCUCUUAUGAUGGGUCAGUGCCUUUGGCAGGCCUGGAAAGUAGUCAAACCACAUUUCUACAGAGUGGUUCUUUCCCAGAAUUUAUAGAAGGUUAUUACUUGCCUGAUUUAUGUCCUUUGCCAGAAUUGUCAAUAGGCAGGCAAACACCAUCUGAGAAACUUAAAUGCAAAUCCAAGAAUUUUGACGAUGCAGAUCAUGGCAGAGGAAAUGGUGGAUGGUAUGGGGAUGCCCCUUUAAGCAUUUUUGAAAAUCACAUUUCUGGAGCAAGUGGUGAAGCUAGUGUGAAUCAGGUUUUGGAAGACCAGCUUCCAACUAUGUAUUCUGAUGAUUUUGGGAAGGCCACCGGAAGAGUGCUUUUUAAGAACAUUAAUGUGAGCUGGAGAAUGUAUGCUGGUUCUGAUUGGCAGGUACAUAAAAGGAAUGGUGAUCCUUCUAGUCAUACUUGUGGACGGGAGACAACUGUUUAUCUGGAGCUUGCAUUAUCUGGAAUGCAAUUUCAAUACGAUGUCUUCCCAGUUGGUGGGAUAUAUGCGUCUAAGCUUUGUCUUUCAGUUCAGGAUUUUCAUCUUUAUGAUGGGAGUAAAACUGCACCUUGGAAACGGAUACUAGGAUAUUAUCAUUCAAAAGAUCAUCCUAGGGAAUCCACUUCCAAAGCAUUCAAGCUGGACUUGGAAGCUGUCAGACCAGAUCCUCUAAUUCCUCUUGAGGAAUACCGGUUACGCAUAGCUUUCCUUCCUGUGCUAUUGCAUCUUCAUCAAAGCCAGCUUGAUUUUCUCAUUAGCUUUUUUGGGCCCAAAAGCUUGUCAGCAGGCCAGUCUUCAGAUCAAGAUCAAAACUCAGACGGUGCGAAGACUUCUGCAACAAAUAGCAGUAAUCUUGCUGGACAUACAAUUGCAAAUGAAGCAUUGCUUCCCUUUUUUCAGAAGUUCGACAUAUGGCCUAUUAUUCUUCGAAUUGAUUACAGUCCCCAUCAUGUUGAUCUGGCAGCAUUGAGUAGUGGGAAGUACGUGGAACUUGUGAACCUUGUCCCCUGGAAGGGGGUUGAACUACAGCUAAAACACGUUCAUGCUGUUGGUGUCUAUGGCUGGGGCAGUGUAUGUGAAACAAUUAUAGGGGAGUGGUUGGUGGAGAUUUCUCAAAAUCAGAUACAUAAAAUUUUGCAAGGUCUUCCUACCAUCCGGUCCUUUGUUGCUGUGGGUUCUAGUGCUGCAAAGCUUGUUUCCUUGCCUGUUGAGAGCUACAGGAAGGAUCAUAAAAUAAUCAAGGGAAUGCAAAGAGGUACAUUUGCAUUUCUAAAACGUAUAUCACUUGAAGCUGUUGGACUUGGGGUACAUUUGGCAGCUGGGGCUCAUGAUAUUUUGCUCCAAGCAGAAUGUAUUCUUACAGGUGCUCCUUCUGCUCCUGUAUCAUGGUCUUUACCAGGCAAAACUAAAGCAAAUGUAAGGUGCAAUCAACCAAAAGAUGCCCAGGAAGGAAUUCAGCAUGCGUACGAGAGUCUCAGUGAUGGACUGGGAAAAUCUGCUUCUGCUUUAGUGCGAGCUCCAUUUAAAAAAUACCAGCUUGGAGCCAGUGCAGGGUCUGCCCUGGCAACUGCUGUGCAGGCUGUUCCUGCUGCUGCCAUAGCUCCUGUUUCUGCUUGUGCAGGUGCAGCCCAUUGUGCUCUUCUUGGCCUUAGAAAUAGUCUUGACCCUGAACACAAAAAAGAGUCCAUGGAGAAAUAUCUGGGUUCCACAAAGCCAAAUGAUUGAGAUUGAUUGAAAUGCAUGAUGAGACCAUUGCAUGACAAAUGGAUAGAGAAGGAUUCUUGCUGCUCUCUUUCCAAGAGAAGGUCACGGGAGACCUCUGUUGUCACCAUAGCCGACAUGUACAAAGUAAAAAUGACAUUAGAAGCUCUGGUUUUGGCAUUUGCCAAGCCCUGCUGAUGAUUAUUCAGCUGUGAAGGUGUUGAUGUCCGUGAAUGCUGUUGAUCAACUUCAUCUAUUUUUCAUUGCUGAAGUAUCAAGGCUUACAAUUUAUUACUUUCAGUAUCAAAUUUUUAUGUGGUAGUUAGAAAUACAAGAAUGGAUUUAUGGUGUAUAACAUAUCCAUCCAUUGUUUGACGCCCAGUCUAUGCUCUAUAGUAGUAUAUAAAAUCAAACGACAAGUGUUUAGGUUUCUGAACGUUCUCCUUGCCAAUUAAAAAAGAAGGCAGCCAUCUUGUAUGUUGU